rnacentral:rRNA from 1 species
GACGUAGGGCGCGAGCGUUGUCCGGAUUUAUUGGGCGUAAAGAGCUCGUAGGCGGCUUGUCGCGUCGACUGUGAAAACCCGCGGCUCAACUGUGGGCUUGCAGUCGAUACGGGCAGGCUGGAGUUCGGUAGGGGAGACUGGAAUUCCUGGUGUAGCGGUGAAAUGCGCAGAUAUCAGGAGGAACACCGGUGGCGAAGGCGGGUCUC